rnacentral:rRNA from 1 species
UGGGGAAUAUUGCACAAUGGGCGAAAGCCUGAUGCAGCAACGCCGCGUGAGUGAUGAAGGUCUUCGGAUUGUAAAGCUCUGUCUUUUGGGACGAUAAUGACGGUACCAAAGGAGGAAGCCACGGCUAACUACGUGCCAGCAGCCGCGGUAAUACGUAGGUGGCGAGCGUUGUCCGGAUUUACUGGGCGUAAAGGGUGCGUAGGCGGAUGUUUAAGUGAGAUGUGAAAUACCCGGGCUUAACUUGGGUGCUGCAU